UAAACAUCAAGAUUGUCAGUCUAAACUGAGGAUGCAGCUAGGGAGUGAUUCACACAAAUAAAUUACAUAAACUAAAAGCUGAAAAUUCACAAAAUGUAGAUCUGCAAUUGCACAGGUUUUACCCAUAAUGCAUCACUGAGUAAAACUGCUGAUGUACUAAUGAUAAAUUUGCAAUAUACGACUGAAUGUGUGGAGCUAAAGUGAGAAUAAUUCUCCACUCCUUCUGUAGACUGAUAGAAAGUUAUGAUAUGAUGUUUAAGUCCUACAAUAAUCUAAUCAUUAAUUUACUGUCAACAUAUUAGUGUGUAUUUACUCACUGCCAACACUGAUGCUGCUUCUUCCACCAUAAAUCCACUACAGUGAGAAACUCAUUAACAUUCAGUACAAACACCAUCCAGUGAAAGUUUAAGCUUCUCUCUCUAAUUCACUUAUUUAUGCAUCAUAGACCUAAAAGUGUUUUCCAGAAAAUCUCCAUCUGACCCCAGAAGCUAAAUUCACACAGUAACUCUGUAGUAGUGUGAGAUUUACAGUAAGAUUGGGGGAAUGUGGUAAAGGCGUCUCCAUACUUAGAGGACACUUUGCAUUGGCAGCACAUGCUUCAGUGCUCUGGGAGUGUUUAUAGCGCUGUGACUUUAACACUUCAUGACUGAGAGCUGCUGCUACAGCAACUUCACCCACAGCUACCAUGACUUUGAUCCCCGUCUUCAUCUGGACGCUGAUCCUCUGGACUCAAGAAUGCAGAGGUCAAGUCACAGUAACUCAGACUCCUGCAGUGAAAUCUGCUCUUCCAGGAGAAACAGUCACCAUCAACUGUAGAACCAAUCCGGCAGUGUACAAGAGCUUAUCUGGUGACUGGUUACACUGGUAUCAGCAGAAACCUGGAGAAGCUCCUAAACUCCUGAUUAAACUUGCGAAUCAGCUACUGUCGGGUAUUCCAGCUCGUUUCAGUGGCAGUGGAUCUGGAUCUGAUUUCACUCUGACCAUCAGUGGAGUCCAGACUGAAGAUGCAGGAGAUUAUUACUGUCAGAGUGCCCACAGUGGCAAUGUGUUCACACAGUGUUAUAGAGUCGUACAAAAACCUCCCUCAGUCAGAUUGUAGAGAGACUGCACUGCUGCAGCUGGGAGCGACUGCAGGUGUUGAGUUGGAGGAUGUGAUAUGACACAAUGACACUCUGUGGAGGAGAGGAACCACACCACAC